rnacentral:tRNA from 1 species
GCAGAAAUAAGCCUAAUUGAUAAGGCGGCGGCCUUGAAAGUCGGCAGUAGACGGAAACGGCUCCACAGUUCAAGACUUGGUUUCUGCG